rnacentral:rRNA from 1 species
CCUACGGGAGGCAGCAGUGAGGAAUAUUGGUCAAUGGACGCAGGGCUGAACCAGCCAAGUCGCGUGAGGGAUGACGGCCCUAUGGAUUGUAAACCUCUUUUGUCAGGGAGUAAAGCGCGCUACGUGUGGCGUUUUGCGUGUACCUUAUGAAUAAGCAUCGGCUAACUCCGUGCCAGCAGCCGCGGUAAUCCGGAGGAGCCGAGCGUUAUCCGGUUUUAUUGGGUUUAAAGGGUGCGCAGGCGGAAUGUUAAGUCAGUGGUAAAAUUUCGGGGCUCAACCCCGUCGUGCCGUUGAAACUGGGGGUCUUGAGUGCGCUAGAGGUAGGCGGAAUUCGUGGUGUAGCGGUGAAAUGCUUAGAUAUCACGCAGAACUCCGAUUGCGAAGGCAGCACACCGGAGCGCAACUGACGCUGAUGCACGAAAGCGUGGGUAUCGAACAGGAUUAGAUACCCCAGUAGUC